rnacentral:lncRNA from 1 species
GUUGGUAAAGAAAAAAUAAACAUACCUUUAACGGCAUAUAAAAAAAACCCAGAAAUUUGAAUGUACCAAUACAGGUACUCCAGAUCUGAUUGUCUCAUCGUUUGUGAGAUAUAAAAUUAAAAUAUAAGAUGUCAUAAUUUAUAAUUUAUUAUACACUCUCUUGGAUUCAGUGAUUCAUUGUGAUGACUUAUAACUGAUGUAUACUCUCUGGGAUUUUGUGAUUCAAUUUCAUGAUUGAUAAUCGAUUUUAUACUUUCUGCGAUUCAAUGUCAUGAUUUUUAGUGGACUAUAAACUCUUGGUGAUCCAGUGAUUAAAUGUCAUGAUUUUUAGUGGACUUUAAACUCUCCAUGAUUCAGUGAUUAAAUGUCAUGAUUUUAAAUUUACUAUAAACACUCUGUGAUUCAGUUAUUAAAAAAAGGGAUGAAAGAUACCAGAGGGAGUCAAACUCAUAGAUAGAAGAUAAACUGACAAUGCUAUGGCUAAAAAUAAAAAGACAAAGAGACAAAUAAUAGUACAGAAGACACA